AAAAAGUCAAGGGGUGUGAAUACUUUCUGAAGGCACUAAAUGCACAAAUCAACUGUGGCAUUUGUUUUAGAAAGAGGUCACAUUUCAACUGUAGCUGCAUUUGGACUCUUUGCACUUGCACUGAUGACACUGGCUGUCGCCAUUCUGAAUUUGAAAAAGAGGUGUCAGGUUACAAAGAAAAAAGAUGUGGAGGAUAACAACUAUGUUGAGAUGCACACGUAUUUACCGCCGCAGGAGGAGACCAAGACCAACCCAGACCAAGACACCUCCCAAUAUGUAUUCUGCAGACCUAUUGCACCCGCUUCAAGCCAGAGAAGGCGAAGACUAUCACUGGAUUUGGACGAUAAUGAUAUCUAUGUAUGAAGAACAUGGUAUCAUUGAGAUAUUCCGAAUGUGUUUAUGGCAUUAUAUUUCAAUAGCAUCUAUUUUACAAUAUGAAAUAUGGAAUUAUGUACCAUAUUGACUGAUCAUAAUCAACAAUUAAUGAUGUUGUGUUUAUGCGAUGAUAGUAUAAUAUUUUGUGGUAUAUUUCUUUUUUAAUACAAAUAGUUAAUGGUAGAGACUAGAGAGGAGAGAUAUAGUGUUGUUGUUUUUUACCUGUAUUUUGAUAUUGUAUCAUACCCAUAUUCACAUUACUUUAGUAUCAGACUUGACCACUAGGUGGUAGCAUUACAGUAUGAUAAAGACAAUAGGUGAGAAGAAACAUCCCAGGAUUACUGUAAUUACAUCAAUAGUUGUUUCCAAACACAUGGACACACUGGGACAAGUGUAAAUUAUUACAUUUCUAAUUUCAAACCAAACUGGUAUGGUCAUUAUUGUCAAAUGUAUGUUUUUCUUCUUCAAAAUGAAGAUCAUUAGAAUAUACUACCAUCAUUACAUAGUUCAAGUAG